CAGCAUCUCAACACACAGCUUUCUAAACCCAGCAUCAUUUACACCUGUGGAAAAAAGAGGAUAUGAAGAGCACUAACUGCAUACUUGGCUAAUAAAGAGAUGUCUACAGGUUUGAUGUGCCUGCUGCAGGUGACUGGUGAACUGAGCCGUGAUCAACCGAAGGAUUCUUACAUGCCCGUGUGGACAGGAGGAGCCGCUGCUGGCCCUGAAAGUAUGGACUGGAAAGUAUGCGUGCUGUGGCCACAGUCCCACCUCUCAGCCUGGGAACGGAAGCAGGGAGUUGCAAGGGAAAACAAGCAGACAAUCAGGCCUCUCUCUGACUGGCUCACUUCCCUUUCUGACUUCCUGGGCCUAUUCUACAAUCUCCCUCCCCAGUGGAGUGAACUCACCAUGCAGGAUUCUCUAGCUGUCUCUGCAUUCCACCAAAUGAGUUGGAAAAUGCAAAACUGUAAGGGAAAUCUUUUCCAUAUUCAUGCAGGCUCCCCGCCCGCUUCAUGUCUGCUAGCCAAGAUGAGGUCUGUCCGGGUUGUCCCUGUAUGAACUCUGGCAGAGGUCGCGACCUUUGGUCAGAAUGGAGAAAGUGGACCACAGUGCACUAAUUGAAACAAAAGACCUCUUUACCGUCAUCCUGGCACAACAGGGAGGUGCAACUUAUAGCCAGUGCACACAUCCUGCACUUUCCCACACAAUGACUUGGACUCACUUAGAACUGUCGGCCUCACAGCUGUGACGUCAAGGCAAACAUCUAUAUCAAAA
ensembl:lncRNA